CGGCACGAGCAUGGCUUAGUGCCAAGCCUAGUAGACCCUUACUUAGCCGCUCAGUGCCAAGCCCUCGUAGACCAUCAAGGGCACAAUCAAGUACGGAGUAGUCAAUUUGACAGUUAGGCGCACAACCGCCAAAAAGAUCCCUCCUCAGGUUCUUCAGCGCAGCAUCAAUGGAAGUUUCACGGACUGAAAACCCCAAAAAUUCCGGGAGCCAAAAAAGGCAGUAAUGUACCAUACAACCUCCAAGACUACACCGACUAAGAUAAUUAUUACACUGAUGUUAUGGUUACUCAAGAGAGAUAUUGCUAAACUGAAAGGAUAAGAAAAUUGGGCACGAAGAAAAGCUAGUGAAGUAAGACACGUGGAGUAUGCUGAAUGCAGUUUUGCUAAUGUGGGAAGGACAUUCAUUAGUUGCUGAACUGCUGUAGUAAUUGGGCGGUUUCCCACCAAAUUGAUCAAGCUACAUGUAGAUAUAUUGAUUUUCAACAACAGUUGCAAUCAAAUUGAUUGAUUUCCAACUGUUUUUCUCCCCCUCUUUCGCUGUUUGCAAUAUUUUGCUAGCUGGUGUUAUAUGGCCUAGCAUGGGGAACUCUUAAAUUUCCUCGCACAGUUGGGCCAUUCUCUGUUUUCUCUGAUUGAGAAUGUGAUAAACAUUCAGGAAUGUGAUAAGCAUGUUGUUAUAAUCAGUACUGCAGGUGAAAGAGAUAGCCAUUUCGGCUAUUUAUUGGUGUUAGACUGAUAAAGUUCAAGUCAACAUCAGCAAAAGGAUGAAAAUCUGUUAUUAUCUAAGAUAGAUUCUUCACUGUAAAAUUUAUUCAGGGUAUUAAAACUACCAUUGUAAUAUAGAUUUUUUGUCAGGGGCACGGGGCACGAGGCACGCGGCCACCAGAAGAUCCCAUUCUGUCUCGAUCAGGAACGUUUGGUUUGAUUCUACCACAAAUUUCAUACAACGGUACGUCAUGGCUUAUGCAAGAUAUUGCUACCUACUUGUUUAAGGAAGUUGUGACCUUAUUAUUGAUGAUUUUGGUCCUUUGCCUUUUGGUUGAAUGGUCCUAUGUCAGUUAAUGCUGAUAUCAAUGGGUGAUUCUACCUAUCACACUGACAUAACAACCUAUCAUGGUUGUCCUUAAAUGCAAUUUGGCUCAAGGGUAAACUUGUGUAGUUGAGCUUGCUAAUUUGUGAUAGGUGUUGGUUCAGUAGAGUCUAUUCUUCUUAUCUAAUUAAAAAAUUAGCAUAAACAACUAACGUCUUAUUAGUUUCAGGAUUAUGAGCUUAUUAUGUGAUCCUCUUAAAAAGAAAAGGUACUUGAGAACU